CCCGAUGAGCAGUUAGUCC
rnacentral:miRNA from 1 species